UGGUAUAAAGUGGUCGUCUCAUAAUUUGAGUUGCGUUUAGCCACCGAACCUCUCCGAUGAAACUAGAGAUCUGAUCAUCAAAGUAUCCAUUGAAAAGGCAAAAUAUGGAUGAUAAUGAGAAGAGAAUUCAACUAAGGAAAGAAGCUCAUUCUUUGAUUGAUCAGAUUGGUAACCAUCUUUCCAAGUUGCAAGAUGUUGUUGCUAAUGCCACCGACAUUGCUACUCUUACCCUUGUUUUGAAUACCAUUGAGAUGUGCAAUUCUGAAGCUGCCAAGAUCUUGUCCACGCCUCCACCAGGGGAUCAAGGAGACACUUAGCCUAUCUAAUCCGAUGAGAGUUGUAUUAACGAGUUCUUCAUGACUUAAUUGUAGUGUAUCGUAAUAUUAGUAGUGAUGACGGAUUAUUGUCGUUAGAUAAAGUUUAAAAUAUUAUUAUGUGUUUUCACUAGUCCACAUUAUUAUUGCCUA